rnacentral:pre_miRNA from 1 species
CAUGUAUUCCCUCCGUUCGGAAUUACUCGUUCAAGAAAUGAAUGUAUCUAGAUGUAUUUUAGUUUUAGAUACAUCCAUUUUUGUGACAAGUAAUUCCGAAUGGAGGAAGUAUGUA